GGUUGACAGAGAAUGAGAAAUUGUGGCUCCAGGCAAGCAUCAAAAUUAAUAUAUACAACUGGGAAUACAUCUUGUCAUGAAGGAAUGUCAUCUGUCUAGUAUGCAGAGAGAAGCUGAGCUGAGCAGUCCGGGCCCUCCUCUGACCGGACCACUAUCUUGGUUGCUCUGGCAAGAACUUCCAGUACAGCGUUGAUGAGCAGUGGUAAAAGGAUUUCACUGUUUUCUGCUAUCUGGAUUUUCCCAAAGAUCCGCUAAAUCCUAAACUUCAUCUUGGUCUGAAGAAGGGCAAGUCCUCUCUCCAGCUCUUCAUUUGCUGACUCUCACUGAUGCAAGAAGAAUGAAGUCUCUUACCUGCCUUCUCCUAGGACAUCCUGGGAGAAACUGUGACUGCUGGUGUGUUCUCAAAACUCACCAACAUGAUUCUCCUUGUGGCUAUAUGACUCUAGAAAGGGAAUUUAAAUAAAAUGAUAACAAUUAACAGAUACUUUUAUGUAAACAACCGGUAGUGACCACUAUACUAGUUGGUUUGUAUUUACCAAAUUCCAUGUCUGAGGCCAAGAAUUUAUCUCUAAAUCCUCUGGGAUAAAAAUCCAGCAUCUCAUCUUUUUUUCUGCCAGCUGUAAAAACAUUGCAGGAAGGUACUGAGUACUUUUUGUUGUUGUUUUCUCCUUUCUUUGAAUCUUUGGCUUUGACAAGCAUGGAAUGAAAAUCAUAUAGAGCAUGGAGCUUAUAGCAAAGGAGAAUGUAGAGGCAAAGAGAAUAAAAAUGCUGGGAUAAUUUCUUGAAAAAUUACUUAGAGGAAGAUGUCUUAUUUUUGUGUCAUAUAACCUCUCACAUGGUUCUUGAAUGUUGCUAACUAUGGCUAGCAGUGCGAUUUCCAACAAGUAAACUGUAAUCUAGCCAAUGCUGUGAGAGUUGUACAUGUCAACCAAGGGUCAAAUAUGGCUAUACCUGUCAAGAGUUGCAAAGUAAAUGUAGAAUCUUACUUUCCCGAGGUACAUAUAAUUUAAGUUUCUUGUUCUGUUCUUUACUGUGGCAUUAUUAAAACUUAAACCCACGCCAUUUUCCUACUGAGUCACUUUCAAUGCAUAAGAAUAUGCUUUCAAGCUAUAACUGCAUCAAUACCUGUGAUUGUACUUUCUAUUGAGAAUACAAAUGCUUUUUCCCCCCUUCAGAGCUGUCAAAGCUUCUGAUGCUGAAGAGUUGAUCUUGGAAAAUGCAGGUUCAGUCCUGCUACCAGCAGAAAGUGAAGAAAGUCCUUAAUUUCACAAUCGAUGUCAUCCUAACGAUGCCAGUAUAAUAAUGGUGCA
rnacentral:lncRNA from 1 species